UGUAAACGUAUACCAAAGUUGCUGCAGUUAAAACGCUCGUAGUCGGAAUUUGGCAGUUCCGGAAGUGUGCACGUCGUGUGCGCACUUUGCGGGGACUGCUUUUGUGGUCUUGCGUAGGAUGAGGCACUUUCAUUAGUGAACGUCCUCACGCAACCACUCUUUACUGUGAGAAAAUCAGAGUGCUCAAAGCAGGCAUUUGCCGUGAAUGUAUUAGCAUGGAAUAAUAGAAUAGGACUCGGUUCUAUUUUGUUGGUUUGUUGGGACUGAGUAAUGAUUAAGAGGGACAGUUGGGGGCAUUUGUAUUCCGGCGCUAGAGGUGAAAUUCUUAGAUUGCCGGAAGACAAACUGCUGCGAAAGCGUCUGCCAAGGAUGUUUUCAUUGA
rnacentral:rRNA from 1 species